GAAAACUGCAGGCUCCGAGCUGGGUGCAGCAACCGGAGGCGGCGGCGCGUCUGGAGGAGGCUGCAGCAGCGGAAGACCCCAGUCCAGAUCCAGGACUGAGAUCCCAGAACCAUGAACCUGGUCAUCAGCAUCGCUCUCCUGCUAACAGGUGGGUGGGAGGCCUCUGCGCCGUAGGCCCCUCCAAUUUGAAGGAGGCACUGCUGGUGCCAGUCUUGCAGGUCUCCCGAGGGCAGAAGGUGACCAGCCUAACGGCCUGCCUAGUGGACCAGAGCCUUCGUCUCGACUGCCGCCAUGAGAAUACCACCACUUCACCCAUCCAGUACGAGUUCAGCCUGACCCGUGAGACAAAGAAGCAUGUGCUCUUUGGCACUGUCGGGGUGCCUGAGCACACAUACCGCUCCCGAACCAACUUCACCAGCAAAUACAACAUGAAGGUCCUCUACUUAUCCGCCUUCACUAGCAAGGAUGAGGGGACCUACACGUGCGCACUCCACCACUCUGGCCAUUCCCCACCCAUCUCCUCCCAGAACGUCACUGUGCUCAGAGACAAACUGGUCAAGUGUGAGGGCAUCAGCCUGCUGGCUCAGAACACCUCGUGGCUG
rnacentral:sRNA from 1 species